rnacentral:ncRNA from 1 species
UUAAUAGUAAAGUUUGAUUCUUGCUUGAGUAUUCUUAUAUGUUGAAGUUUCACAUAAAUAUUGGUAUCUAAAUGAGUAUGUGUUUAGUGAAUUUAAUUAAAUGUUGGGUUAUCCCUGAUUUUAGCUUCAGCAUUUUAACUGGCUAAAUUCGUGCCAGCCGCCGCGGUUAUACGAGGAGUUAUUUGGAAUAUUUUUGGUAAAAGUUAGUUUGUUUUGAUUGGCCAGUGGAGUUAUUAUUAUAAUAAAAGGUAGAAUUUUUAUUUUUAUUUGGUUUCUUUGGUAAUUUUGUUUAACUGUGUAUUUCCCUUAAAAACCAGGAUUAGAUACCCUGUUAUUGUGUAUGGUAUUUACCCGGGUAGUAAAAGAUAUUUUCUUCAAACCCAAAGAAUUUGGCGGUACCUUAGUCCUUUCAGAGGAACUUGUCCCUUGAUCGAUAUUCCACGUUUUAUCUUACUUUCCUUUGAAAAAUUUGUCAGUUUGUAUACCGUUGUUGUCAGAUUUCUUUAAAAAUUUGUUUUCUAGUUAAAUUGGUUUUUGACGUCAGGUCAAGGUGCAGCUUAUGGGAAAUUGCGGGAUUGGUGAGUUACAUUGUUUAAAUAGGCGGAUUUUGUAUUGAAAUAUAGUUUGAAGUUGGAUUUGUUAGUAAUUUUAAUAUUUAGGUAUUUUGAUUUUGGCUCUAAGGUGUGCACACAUUGCCCGUCACUCUCAAUGUGUUGAGAUAAGUCGUAACAUAGUAGGAGUACCGGAAGGUGUUUCUAGAUAUU